CUCAAUGUCUACUCUGCAUUUCUUUCUUGUGAUAAGCACACACUUUUAUUGCAACAUAAUGAUCUGCUCACAUUUCCUUGCCUGGGGGCUGUAAAACCUUACAGAACAGAAAUCCUUGCCUCUUUCACCAGCCACACCUGCCAUACCAGGGGUACAGCUUUGUACUAUUGAAGACACAGACAGGAUUUUUAAAUGUAAAUCUAUUUUUGUAACUUUGUUGCGGGAUAUAGUUCUCUUUAUGUAGCACUGAACUUUGUACAAUAUAUUUUUAGAAACUCAUUUUUCUACUAAAACAAACACAGUUUACUUUAGAGAGACUGCAAUAGAAUCAAAAUUUGAAACUGAAAUCUUUGUUUAAAAGGGUUAAGUUGAGGCAAGAGGAAAGCCCUUUCUCUCUCUUAUAAAAAGGCACAACCUCAUUGGGGAGCUAAGCUAGGUCAUUGUCAUGGUGAAGAAGAGAAGCAUCGUUUUUAUAUUUAGGAAAUUUUAAAAGAUGAUGGAAAGCACAUUUAGCUUGGUCUGAGGCAGGUUCUGUUGGGGCAGUGUUAAUGGAAAGGGCUCACUGUUGUUACUACUAGAAAAAUCCAGUUGCAUGCCAUACUCUCAUCAUCUGCCAGUGUAACCCUGUACAUGUAAGAAAAGCAAUAACAUAGCACUUUGUUGGUUUAUAUAUAUAAUGUGACUUCAAUGCAAAUUUUAUUUUUAUAUUUACAAUUGAUAUGCAUUUACCAGUAUAAACUAGACAUGUCUGGAGAGCCUAAUAAUGUUCAGCACACUUUGGUUAGUUCACCAACAGUCUUACCAA
rnacentral:sRNA from 1 species